rnacentral:rRNA from 1 species
AGCAGCCGCGGUAAUUCCAGCUCCAAUAGCGUAUAUUAAAGUUGCUGCAGUUAAAAAGCUCGUAGUUGAAUUUCGGGACCGAUAUAUCGGUCGUGCCUCGGUACGUACUGGUAUUUUCGGUUUCUACCUUCUGACGAACCUUGAUGUCAUUAAUUUGGUGUCUUGGGAAAUCAGGACUGUUACUUUGAAAAAAUUAGAGUGUUUAAAGCAGGCUCACGCUUGAAUACAUUAGCAUGGAAUAAUGAAAUAGGACGUUUGAUUCUAUUUUGUUGGUUUCUAGGAUCGACGUAAUGAUUAAUAGGGAUAGUUGGGGGCAUUAGUAUUCAAUUGUCAGAGGUGAAAUUCUUGGAUUUAUUGAAGACUAACUACUGCGAAAGCAUUUGCCAAGGAUGUUUUCAUUAAUCAAGAACGAAAGUUAGGGGAUCGAAGACGAUCAGAUACCGUCGUAGUCUUAACCAUAAACUAUGCCGACUAGGGAUCGGAUGAUGUUAAUUUUUUAAUGACUCAUUC